rnacentral:rRNA from 1 species
AUACGUAGGUGGCGAGCGUUGUCCGGAAUUAUUGGGCGUAAAGAGCAUGUAGGCGGCUUUUUAAGUCGGUCGUGAAAAUGCGGGGCUUAACCCCGUAUUGCGGUCGAAACUGGAGGGCUUGAGUGCAGGAGAGGAAAGGGGAAUUCCCAGUGUAGCGGUGAAAUGCGUAGAUAUUGGGAGGAACACCAGUGGCGAAGGCGCCUUUCUGGACUGUGUCUGACGCUGAGAUGCGAAAGCCAGGGUAGCAAACGGGAUUAGAUACCCCGGUAGUCCUGGCCGUAAACGAUGGGUACUAGGUGUGGGAGGUAUCGACCCCUUCCGUGCCGGAGUUAACGCAAUAAGUACCCCGCCUGGGGAGUACGGCCGCAGGGUUGAA